CCUCGACUCCACGAGCCCAGCGCCGCCCGACGAGUCCCUCCUCUUACGACCUGCAUCUCAACUAGGAUCCCAUUCCGACGAGGAUGGACCCUUGGUGUCGCCGCCAAGGGGCACCAAGGCCAAUCUCUGGAUAUCCACGCCAUCUCUUCCUCCUUCUCCUGCAGAUCUUGUGAGAGUUGCUUCUAAGGGAUGAGAUGGCGGAAACCUUCGAGUGGGUUUUCAAUUAAUUUAUCCGCAUGAUGGGUGGCAAGGCAAACAUCCCCAAACCUUGCUGACAGUUUGCUGAUUGAUCACAAGGUUUUGUGUGUCUCUGGAGACCAGAGCAGGGCGAUGGAGGUCGUGAUAGAGAAAGUGAUGCCGAACAGCGCACACUGAUGAUUCAAGUGGGGGUGCUCACGGAGACUUAUGGCCCGCAUAAACACCCUUGAGACAAAUAUAACAAGUGAGGAAGAAGUGGGCGAAGCCAUACUUUAGAGGAAAAUUUUGUGGAAAGAUGACCAAUACGCGAUGGAGCGAAAGUGCCAACCAGAAAGGUUAUGUUCCGGCAAGCUGCCCCAUGCAUCUGCUUGUACGGCAAUACAUGAUGCUUCUUUUCGACCGGGAGACCAGCACAACCUGGCCACAGAGGCGUGACCACGCUCAGAAAGCUAGGAAAGAGUCCAAAUGUUCAAACUGUGGAGUUAUAGGGGGUCAUCGGAAGAGCACCUGCAGCAACCCUAAGGUUACGCUGCAUGUUUUGGAUAAUGGACCGCAACCGUGUUAGUGACCUGAUUAACCAUCAGGUUUCAUCGUCGCGUGCUUGAGCAACAAUUUUUUUUCCUGUAUGUUGAGGGCUCAGUAGCCGUGUGUAGACCUGAAUUAUUUAUUGGUCUACUAAUAAUUAUAAUUGUAGCACAUGUACUUGUGAUGUCACCAC